UUUCCACAUCUGUUUCUCACGACUCUCCAUAGCUAGAUGCUCCUGAUACAUUCCCUGAGUUGUGGGAGGUAGAGGUAAAGGUAUAGAUGGAGCAGACGCAGACACAUAUCUCAUAGCAGGGUAUGGCAUACCAAUCUCUUCAGCUCGGUUUAUUACCCACUGAGUAUAGGCCUCAUGAGCAAUACCAGAUCUCACACCCAAAUGCUUCACACUCUUCCUACGGACCUUAGACCAAGCCCCUAUGAAAGCCUCCCUUUGUCCGGUGGGGGCGUUCGAAUAGUAGAAGAACUCUGGAGAUGUAGCAAGAUUGAUGGGCUUUGCCUUCAUUGGGAACCCAAACUGUCUCAUAGCAAGCUCAGGAUUGUAGUUGAUUCCCCCACGGGUACCAAGAAGAGGUACAUUGAGAAAAUCUCCACAACCAGUAAUAAUUUCCUUAACCUGAGCGGCGGGAGUGA
rnacentral:lncRNA from 1 species